rnacentral:lncRNA from 1 species
GGAAAAACAAACACACACAUCUGGCGUGUGUGUGUCGCCCCAAGCAGGAGAAAAAGAGGAGAAACCCUAAAAUCCUUGAAGUUGCAAAAUUGAGAAGGGAAAUUGAAGCUAAUCAUAUGCAUGAAUCUGAAUGUGCAACCAUUUAAGCCUACUAAUCAAGUGGCAUAGGGAUCAUGUGGAAAUGGACUCAAGAACGGAAGGUUAACGGGUCAAGCGGAGGCGAGGAAGCAAGCAUGAACACUAACGCUCGAGGUUGCAUGGAUUUAGCAUCAUUAUGAAGGACAUAAAGAUUGAAGAUCGAGUCAAGAGCAAAGAAUUGUACGGGAAAGAUCGGUCACAUAGUUUAGCAAAUGUAGGUCCGAAGUAUUAAUAUAAUGGAACGUGGUAAAUCCUUUUUAAUGAAUGUAUGACAUUUGAUAUUCGAACUUUCCUGUAAGUACUAUGUCUAUUAAAGAACGAAAUUUUUGGGU